UCCCUGAUGGUCUAGUGGCUUGGAUUCGGCGCUCUCACCGCUGCGGCCUGGGUUAGAUUCCCAGUCAGGGAA